rnacentral:RNase_P_RNA from 1 species
CCAGUUGGCUGGGCAGCCGCGCUUUACCAAUGCCGAAAGGCGGUAGGGUGAGGAAAGUCCGGGCUCCACGGAAACACGGUGCCGGAUAACGUCCGGCGAGGGCGACCUCAGGGAAAGUGCCACAGAAAGCAAACCGCCUGCGUUCGCGCAGGUAAGGGUGAAAGGGUGGGGUAAGAGCCCACCGCGUCUCCGGCAACGGAAAUGGCACGGUAAACCCCACCGGGAGCAAGACCGAAUAGGGAUGACGCGGCGGGCCGAAAGGCCUUCCGGCUGGUUUCCAGGCCAGUCAUCCGGGUGGGUUGCGAGAGGCAGCGUGCGAGCGCUGUCCCAGAGGAAUGGCUGCCACGUUCCGGUUCACGCCGGAACCAUACAGAACCCGGCUUACAGGCCAACUGGCGAU